GAUGAACGCUGGCGGCGUGCCUAAUACAUGCAAGUCGAGCGAACAGACGAGGAGCUUGCUCCUCUGACGUUAGCGGCGGACGGGUGAGUAACACGUGGAUAACCUACCUAUAAGACUGGGAUAACUUCGGGAAACCGGAUCUACUAACGGAUAAUUUAUUGAACCGCAUGGUUCAAUAGUGAAAGACGGUUUUUGUGUCACUAAUGGAUGGAUCCGCGCCGCAUUAGCAAGUUGGUAAGGUGAAGGCUUACCAAGGCAAGGAUGCGUAACCGACCCCAGCGCGUGAUCGGCUACACGGGCACUGAGACACGGUCCAGACUCCGACGCGAGGCCGCAGUCCGGACUCUUCCGCAAUGCGCGAGAGCCUGACGUUGCAACGUCGCGUGAAUGCUGAUGGUGUACUGACCGUAAAACUCUGUUAUUCGGGAGGAUCAAAUGUGUAAGUAACUAUGCACGUCUUGACGGUACCUAGUGAGAAAGCCCCGGCUAACUCCGUG
rnacentral:rRNA from 1 species